rnacentral:rRNA from 1 species
UACGGAGGGGGCUAGCGUUAUUCGGUAUCACUGGGCUUAAAGCGUUCGUAGGCGGCCUAGUAGGUGAGGUGUGAAAGCCCACGGCUCAACCGUGGAACAGCGCUUCAAACCACUAGGCUAGAGGAUGGCAGGGGUAAUGGGAACUGAUGGUGGAGCGGUGAAAUGCGUUGAUAUCAUCAGGAACACCGGUGGCGAAAGCGCAUUACUGGGCCAUUUCUGACGCUGAGGAACGAAAGCUAGGGUAGCGAACGGG